UCGCGGGAUGGAGCAGUCUGGUAGCUCGUCGGGCUCAUAACCCGAAGGUCGUAGGUUCAAAUCCUGCUCCCGCAAU
rnacentral:tRNA from 26 species